AAGUGCUGGGAUUACAAGCAUGAGCCACUGCGCUUGGCCUCAGAAUAUUUUAGCUCAAAGUUUAUUUUCCUCCUUUCACUAUUUCUACCUUUGAGUCUAGGUACAAGAUGGAAGAUAUGCAGGAAAAAUCAACAGUGCCUGUCGUCCACAAUUAAUUCUAAAUGUGUCCCUGCCAUCUUUAGAUUGAGUAGAUUUAUUCUGAGAGCUGGGUAUGCCUCCAGGACAUCAUAAAAAAACUACUCUAUUUCAAACACACCAACAGACUAGAUACAGAAGACCGAGUGCUCAGAGUAGGCUUGCUAUCUCCUCGUGUGAAGAAGAAAAUCAGUCACAUCAAGAUAGCCACAAUCUCUGCAACCUUCUCAACUUCCUCCCAUCCUCCUCCAAUUACUUACAAAGAUCCAUAAUGUGGUUCCUGCAGAUGGCACAGUUAUCAACCACAAUAUCCCAGGCCCAGAGGGCUACUGCAUUCCACUGCAAAGACAAAAAGAGGGAACAGUGCAUUCUGCUUGUAACACACACACAUACUCUUUAGGACCUCAGGCUGCAGCUGCAGUUAUCAUCUCUUUGGCCACAGGGAACCACCAAACAAAAGUUUUUGGAUAUUACGUUAAUCUUAUUAUACCAAAGACAACAGUAGACUACACGUAUGUUCUAUUCUCCAAAAGGCUGAGUAUAUGAACACAGAAAUUAAUGUCAUCUUUUAAUUUGUUUCCUAUAGUUUAAAAUAAUUUAGUCUGGCCGGGUGCAGUGGCUCACGCCUAUAGUCCUAGCAUUUUGGGAGGCCGAGGCGGGCCGAUCACUGAGGUCAGGAGUUCAAGACCAGCCUGGCCAACAUGGCAAAAUCCUAUCUUUACUAAAAAUACAAAAAUUAGCCAGGCCUGGUGGCGGGUGUCUAUAAUACCAGCUGUUUGGGAAGCUGAGGCAGGAGAAUCGCUUGAAUCUGGGGGACGGAGGUUGCAGUGAGCCAAGAUCGUGCCACUGCACUCCAGCCUGGGCGACAGAGUGAGACUCCAUCUCAAAAAAAAAAAAAAAAAAAAAAAAAGGGCACAAACUUGAAUUUCUGUGCAGGUUUUGGUGGCAGUUGCAGAAGAGCUCAAAAUCUGAAUAAGUAUCUGCUCUACACAGCUCUGGAAGCAUGAGCAAUGAAGUGAAAGCUAGAGAACAGAAUGAACUAAGAUAAUGACUGGAUCAUAAAAUGGGUAAUCAUGGGAUAAGCUGGAUAAUUAAAUACCCGUGUCAGUACACAGAACAAGGUCAUCACUUAAAUCUUAGAUUACUUCAUAACAAAUUCUACAAUUCACUAGAAUUUUGAUUCUUACCAUAAAAUAAACUGAUGUUCUCAACUUUUAUAUGUUUAGACUCUUCUAUUAAGAUAAUAAUUCCAGUAAGAGUUUAACAGAAUUUCAUUCAUUCAACUCUGGCUUCCUCAAUUACAAAUACUCCCAAACCUUCUUCGCUUUCAAACCCCAUUCUCAGUGCCUAGUAACUUCUUUACCACUUUUCACAUCACAGCUUCAAGGUGGAGGAAAAGCCCCUACUUCUAUUAUUUUUCAAUAUGGCUGCUGGCUGUAACUGAGCAGCAGUGGCCACAAUGAGACACCAAAAAGCACUAGGACGGGGGAUAUUGUCAGUGUUUAGCCAGAUGUUCUAGGAAUAUCUUCCCUAUUUUAGAAUCUCCAUUUUGAACAGCUUUCAUGUUAGGUGAGAAUCGAUACUGUUCUCCCAAACUGUGGCAAACCACUAAAAGGCAUUUCAUGCAAAAAGACACGUUCCAUUUUUGCUUUCCCACGCUUACCAAGUCGUUCGCGACUAGUACUCAACCCUCCCUAACUGCCACAGGAUUUGGGCUCGGAUUUUCUUAACAAGUUCCACCAUGCUUUUUAUUAUUAUUUUGGAAGGGGGAGAUUCUGGACGUGACAGAGAACCCAAGAGUGGGGUGGUUGUGUGAAAAGCCAACAGACGUCUCAGAAGAGCCAAGCAUUACACUCCAGACUCUAACCAGGCAGUGUGAGGCCUCGGUUCAGCGAGGAUCCCUCCAAGUGAGAGGACCCCUCCAAGUGAGAGGACCCCAAGCUUCAAAAAGGGGCGGAGCAAGAUCACCAAGGGGGGUCCUCAGAGGCCUCUAAUGCGGUAGGACCUCAGGUUCCAGGCUCUCGCCGCACUGCCCCAUCCUCCACCGCCGCAUUCGCUUCGACUCCCCAUUCCACCCACCCCACCCCACCCUACCCUGUCCUUCCCCCACCUCUCAACCACUCCAGUGACAGCUCAAGCGCUUGGCUCCCGCCGCCAAGUCGCAACCCCGCGUAUCUCAAUAAGCAGCUCUGUGAUUGGCCCCUUAGCCUCACAGCGAAACCAACACUUCCCCCAACAGUGGGCCGCCGUCACGCCGAUCAACUCUAAGACCCGCCCCCCGGCUUCCUUUCGUGGUACCCGGUCCCAGGAACGCCCUGAAAUGAAACCCUUUACUCCGCGCCUCGACCAUCCUCGGGCCUGCCAGCCAGAUCCGCGCCUCUCUAGCUUCCCUGAGGAAGGCGCUGGCGAGACCCAACCUUUUUCACUUCAAAGCGCUUCUUGCCCGCGCCGCUGUUGGUG
rnacentral:lncRNA from 10 species